UUAAGCGAUUUUUUUUUUUUUUUCCCCUCCAUCCUCUGCCGGCCUCGUAGAAGAUGACGGCUGAUGUGAUACACGAAAUAACGCACGUGAUUGAUUAGGACCUGGCUGGGCUUUGCUGGGGAGCGACCCGGGCGCGCCGGAGACCCCGGGUAGAAACCAAAUGACGGUAGCUUCGAGCGGGUUCUGCAAAGCCGGGGAGCGGGCUCCAGGCCCCCCUUUUCCCGUAUCCCCUUGACCUACUACCCAGGGUGAAUGGGAAUGGCUAUGAACGUCUUCACGAAGCCCCGUGUCUUCAGUUGUAAAGAUGAAAGCGUAUGGAGAGGUUUCCUUGAAGCAUUGUCUUAGUGUGGAGCUCGUCAUUCUCCAUUCCACGCCUCCUGUUCCUCAAAAGGAACGGAUGUGUUGAGAUGGAAAAGACGGCAACUAUAUGUCCAUGGAGGCAUUUUUAAAGGUAUCUUCUCAGAAGGACAAUGUAAUGGAGGACUGCUCUGCCUUGGAGUUUUCCUAAGGAAUCCUUG